CGCUGUUUGUGUCCGGCUGGCUCUCUGGCUCCCACCACUCACGGGACGCAUUCUUCCCCAUCAAGGGGGGAUGUGGGGGGUUGGCCGCAGCCCACAGCUCCUGGGGAGCAGGCUCUGGGAGGAGGUUCUCAGCCAGGGCUGCGGGGCGUCUUUGAAGUCCCCCAGGAAUGUCUCUGGCUCUGAAUAGCAUUCUCCUCCUUCCAGGACUCUGCUCACUUGUUUUUUCUAUAGAAACAAAAAUAGUAACCAGGCGUGUCUCCAAGGAUGCCUGAACCAGGAAGCUCAGGAGAUCCAGCUCAGAAUUGUCUGUUUUUCAAUUGCCUUAUACUAAAUGGAGAAGAUGAACCCAUCAUGAUUGAGGUCUGACUUUUGUUGACCUGAGAUUUCCAGGAUUGGCUAAAACCUACUUCAGAACAACAUGGGAAAGAGAAGUUCUCCAAGUUCCGGGAAUGACGGAUUUGGGCCGCCCUGCUGCCCUGCACUUAAGGCCAGAAAAUAAAAAGCAAUCCUGUGUACAACAUCUACAACAAUGAUUUCAACGUCAAACCAAAGAACAAGAUGUGUAUUUGAAACAUGCCGAUAUCCAGAUAUUGAGAAUUUAGGGAGUGAAACACACCCAGGCAAUCAACAUUUCCCUGGAGUUUCUGGUAAGAUACAGGUAUCUGCCCUGUCUACAGACAAAUUGAAGGGGAGAUGCCGAGUCAACUGAGGACCUGAGCAGAACAGAGAGGCCGACUGUGCCCAAAAGAGAAGGGAGCGCCCAGGCCUGAUGGUUUCCAGCUGGAGCAUUAACUUUUUCCUGCUUUCAGACUAGAGGUGAGAUGUCAGCUCUUUCUAGGCCUCAAGCCUGCUGGUCUUUGGACUGGAACUUACGCCAUCAGCUCUCCCGGGCUUCAGAUGGCCUGAUCACCUUUCGGAUGGUGGGAUUUGCCAGCUUCCGCAAUCACUCGAACCUGUUUCUUAUAAGAAAUCUCUCUAUAUACACACAAAGACAUACACACACACACACAAAAAGUAUACACAUCUUAAGAAAGGAA